rnacentral:rRNA from 1 species
UAGGGAAUCUUCCGCAAUGGACGCAAGUCUGACGGAGCAACGCCGCGUGAGUGAAGAAGGUUUUCGGAUCGUAAAACUCUGUUGUUAGAGAAGAACAAGUGCUAGAGUAACUGUUAGCGCCUUGACGGUAUCUAACCAGAAAGCCACGGCUAACUACGUGCCAGCAGCCGCGGUAAUACGUAGGUGGCAAGCGUUGUCCGGAUUUAUUGGGCGUAAAGCGAGCGCAGGCGGUUCCUUAAGUCUGAUGUGAAAGCCCCCGGCUCAACCGGGGAGGGUCAUUGGAAACUGGGGAACUUGAGUGCAGAAGAGGAGAGUGGAAUUCCAUGUGUAGCGGUGAAGUGCGUAGAUAUAUGGAGGAACACCAGUGGCGAAGGCGACUCUCUGGUCUGUAACUGACGCUGAGGCUCGAAAGCGUGGGUAGCAAACAGGAUUAGAUACCCUGGUAGUCCACGCCGUAAACGAUGAGUGCUAAGUGUUGGAGGGUUUCCGCCCUUCAGUGCUACAGUUAACGCAUUAAGCACUCCGCCUGGGGAGUACGACCGCAAGGUUG